CUGCUCACUUCAGCAGCACAUAUGCUAAAACUGGAAUUAUACAGAGGAGAUUAGCACAGCCCCUACACAAGGAUAACACACAAAUUUGUGAAGCAUUCCAUAUUUUU
ensembl:snRNA U6 U6 spliceosomal RNA